GGCGGCCCUCUUUGUCUGGUUUUCCAUCCGGGACUUCAUGGAGACCGACAGCGCCGAGGAGGAAAUGGAGAUCCACGCCCAGCUGAUGCGCGCGGGCGUGUACGUGGUGCCCGGGAGCAAGCUGUACGGCUCCGACCCGGGUUGGAUCCGCCUCAUCUUCAGCGUGAGGGAAGAGGAGCUCGACGAAGGUCUUAGGAGAAUUGAGUCUGUCCUCAAGAGCAGGAGAAAGGAGACAGCAUGAUUGGAAGAACACACACCUGAAGUCUUACUUUGGCGUCUGGCUGUUACUAUACUUUCACUGUUACGUAGCUAUCUGGUAGCGAAAAUCAUCCUGAAUGUUUGUAGGUUUUCCUCUUAGGAAACAUUAAAUGGUGCAAUUC